rnacentral:snRNA from 1 species
AUCGCUUCUUGGCCUUUUGGCUAAGAUCAAGUGUAAAUAUCAGCCACUGUUAUGUAAGACAGUUAGAAAAUGGAAGUGUAUACUCUCCCAUUUUCCUCAGUCUGAAUUCUUCUCUUCCUUCGGAAUUUUGCUCAGGAUCCUU